rnacentral:rRNA from 1 species
CCUACGGGAGGCAGCAGUAGGGAAUAUUGCUCAAUGGGGGAAACCCUGAAGCAGCAACGCCGCGUGGAGGAUGAAGGUUUUCGGAUUGUAAACUCCUUUUGUUAGAGAAGAUAAUGACGUUAUCUAACGAAUAAGCACCGGCUACCUCCGUGCCAGCCGCCGCGGUAAUACGGAGGGUGCAAGCGUUACUCGGAAUCACUGGGCGUAAAGCGCGCGUAGGCGGGAUAGCAAGUCAGAUGUGAAAUCCUAUGGCUUAACCAUAGAACUGCAUUUGAAACUGUUAUUCUAGAGUAUGGGAGAGGUAGGUGGAAUUCUUGGUGUAGGGGUAAAAUCCGUAGAGAUCAAGAGGAAUACUCAUUGCGAAGGCGACCUGCUAGAACAUAACUGACGCUGAUGCGCGAAAGCGUGGGGAGCAAACAGGAUUAGAUACCCGGGGAGUC